UAACGGCUGGAAACGGUCGCUAAUACCGCAUAAUGUACGGAUGGGACAUCCUGUCUGUACCAAAGAUUUAUCGCUCGAAGAUGGGCUCGCGUCCGAUUAGGUAGUUGGUGAGGUAACGGCCCACCAAGCCGACGAUCGGUAGCCGGACUGAGAGGUUGAACGGCCACAUUGGGACUGAGACACGGCCCAGACUCCUACGGGAGGCAGCAGUGGGGGAUAUUGCACAAUGGGGGAAACCCUGAUGCAGCGACGCCGCGUGUGGGAAGACGGUCUUCUGGAUUGUAAACCACUGUCCCCAGGGANNAAAAUGACGGUACCUGGGGAGGAAGCUCCGGCUAACUACGUGCCAGCAGCCGCGGUAAUACGUAGGGAGCAAGCGUUGUCCGGAAUUACUGGGUGUAAAGGGAGCGUAGGCGGGGAUGCAAGUUGGGUGUCAAAACUACCGGCUCAACCGAUAGUCGCACUCAAAACUGCAGCUCUUGAGUGAAGUAGAGGCAGGCGGAAUUCCUAGUGUAGCGGUGAAAUGCGUAGAUAUUAGGAGGAACACCAGUGGCGAAGGCGGCCUGCUGGGCUUUUACUGACGCUGAGGCUCGAAAGUGUGGGGAGCAAACAGGAUUAGAUACCCUGGUAGU
rnacentral:rRNA from 1 species